rnacentral:rRNA from 1 species
CCUACGGGGGGCAGCAGUGGGGAAUAUUGCACAAUGGGGGAAACCCUGAUGCAGCGACGCCGCGUGAGUGAAGAAGGAAGGCGAGAGGGAAAGCUCUAUCAGCAGGGAAGAAAAUGACGGUACCUGAGUAAGAAGCCCCGGCUAACGACGUGACAGCAGCCGCGGUAAUACGUAGGGGGCAAGCGUUCUCAUGAUUUACUGGGUGUACAGGGAGCGUAGACGGCAGUGCAAGUCUGGAGUGAAAGGCGGGGGCUCCACCCCCGGACUGCUCUGGAAACUGUACGGCUGGAGUGCAGGAGUGGUCAGUGGCAUUCCUCUUGUAGCGGUUAUCUGCGUAGAUCUUAGGUGGCACCCCAGUGGCGACGGCGGCUUACUGGACUGUAACUGACGUUGAGGCUCGAAAGCGUGGGGAGCA